rnacentral:lncRNA from 13 species
CAUCAUUUCAGGAUGAGUAUUUUGCAUCAAGUGGAUUCAAGGAACAGUGUGAAGGAUCCAUGGCCUCAAUCACCAUGAAGACCCUCCCAAGAGCCAACCAUCCUGGGCACAUAUAAAUGAGUGGAGACAUGGAACUCACCCUUACAAGGCCUAGAACCUGACAGAGCAUACAAGACAGAAGCCCAAAUAACUAAGAACAGGAAGCUGAAGGUGAGAGGUGGGCCCCAAAGGAUUUUGUGAAAAUGCUUUGUGUUUGUGGAUUUAUCACGCAGAACGAAGCCUUUGUUUUUAUUCACAGGUUAGACACACUCUCUAUAUAGAAUCUGUGAAGGGACAUUUCUGGGUUUUUUUGAGGCCUAUGGUGAAAAAUGGAAUAUCUCAGGCAGCUCAGGAUGAAUAAUGCAGUCACCAAGAGGGGCAGGGUGGCCAGCAGCAGGGAUGGGCAUUGUGAGCCACUGGCCUGACUUUGUUGUUUGCUGGUAACCAGAUGACAUAGGAGGCUUUGUGGGUGAAAGGCAUCAGCUAGGGCCAGCAGCCUUCAGUCAGAAGCUGGUAGUGGGAGGAGGAAGAGCUCUGACGACUCUCAUAGAAGUGGCACUUGCUCUGUUGCUUGGCUUUUUCUUUCUUUUCUUUUCUUUUUUUAUUUUGUGUGUUGCUUUUUUUUCUUGUUUUUUUGUGUUGUUUUGUUUUGUUUUUUUCUUUUUUUUAAUUUUAGGUUUGGUUGUACAUUUGAAGAACAUGCAAGAUUGUUGCAUAGGUACACACGUGGCAGUGUGAUUUGCUGCCUUCCUCCCCAUCACCUAUAUCUGGCAUUUUUCCCCAUGCUAUUGCUCCCCAACUCUCCACCCCCUGCUGUCCCUUCCCUAUUUCCCCACAACAGAACCCAGUGUGUAGUGCUCCCCUCCCUGUGUCCAUGUGUUCUCAUUGUUCUUUUUUUUUCUUCUGAUUUUGUGUGUUGCUUUGUUUUGAAAGUCCCCUUUUAGGUCACCCAUGGGGAAUUGCCUAGGCUCCAAGGAUGACCUAGGUUGUGCCUACUGCAUGCAGGCAGUGCUGUUGUGUUGUGAGACUCAGGUAGUGGAUCCUACACAAAUAGCAACCACCACUGCAGAGCCUGCCAUAUUACAUUCUGGAGUGGCGGAAGUCCAGCACGUGCAGCCCAUCAAGCGGCGCAAAGGUUUGGCUGGCCGUGCCAGGAGCUGGUUAAAAAAAAAAUGGAGGCAUAAGAAAAUUUGCCCCAUUGAAAAUGAAGCUCCUGUUGAAGAACCAAAGGAGUGCAAAACUCUUUUUCACCUGACAUCACCUGAUCAUGAGACAUCACCUGACAUAGAAAAUGCUACAGAUGAAUAUCAACACACUCCUGUUGAUGACUCAGAGGAGUGUACACAUGGCAGUAAGAAGAAAGAGGUUGCCUCUGACAUGGAGAAGCCUGCAGCCCAGUAUCACAACCGUCCUGCUAAGGUCUUACAAGACCUUAUCAUAGAAGACAUUGAGGAUGAUGAGCUGUUCCCUGAUGUGGAGAAGCCAGCGGCCCAGUAUCACCACCGUCCUGCUAAGGUCUUACAAGACCUCAUCAUAGAAGACAUUGAGGAUGAUGAGCUGUUCCCUGAUGUGGAGAAGCCAGCGGCCCAGUAUCACCACCGUCCUGCUAAGGUCUUACAAGACCUCAUCAUAGAAGACAUUGAGGAUGAUGAGCUGUUCCCUGAUGUGGAGAAGCCAGAGGCCCAGUAUCACCACCGUCCUGUUAAGGUCUUACAAGACCUUAUCAUAGAAGACAUUGAGGAUGAUGAGCUGUUCCCUGAUGUGGAGAAGCCAGCGGCCCAGUAUCACCACCGUCCUGCUAAGGUCUUACAAGACCUCAUCAUAGAAGACAUUGAGGAUGAUGAGCUGUUCCCUGAUGUGGUAAGAUGCAUUUCUUUGUCUCAAAGAGAAAUUUUUAUUUCUGGGGCC